UAACACGUGGGCAACCUGCCUGUAAGACUGGGAUAACUCCGGGAAACCGGGGCUAAUACCGGAUAACUCUUUUCCUCACAUGAGGAAAAGCUGAAAGAUGGUUUCGGCUAUCACUUACAGAUGGGCCCGCGGCGCAUUAGCUAGUUGGUGAGGUAACGGCUCACCAAGGCCACGAUGCGUAGCCGACCUGAGAGGGUGAUCGGCCACACUGGGACUGAGACACGGCCCAGACUCCUACGGGAGGCAGCAGUAGGGAAUCUUCCGCAAUGGACGAAAGUCUGACGGAGCAACGCCGCGUGAGUGAUGAAGGUUUUCGGAUCGUAAAACUCUGUUGUCAGGGAAGAACAAGUACCGGAGUAACUGCCGGUACCUUGACGGUACCUGACCAGAAAGCCACGGCUAACUACGUGCCAGCAGCCGCGGUAAUACGUAGGUGGCAAGCGUUGUCCGGAAUUAUUGGGCGUAAAGCGCGCGCAGGCGGUUCCUUAAGUCUGAUGUGAAAGCCCCCGGCUCAACCGGGGAGGGUCAUUGGAAACUGGGGAACUUGAGUGCAGAAGAGAAGAGUGGAAUUCCACGUGUAGCGGUGAAAUGCGUAGAGAUGUGGAGGAACACCAGUGGCGAAGGCGACUCUUUGGUCUGUAACUGACGCUGAGGCGCGAAAGCGUGGGGAGCAAACAGGAUUAGAUACCUGGUAGUCCACGCCGUAAACGAUGAGUGCUAA
rnacentral:rRNA from 1 species